UUAAACAAGAGCCAUGAAAGCAAUAGCUCUGGCGCUUAAAGAGAGGCUUGGUGCAGGGAUCUCAAAAGCCAAACAUUGGAGGGCUCCCCUGACCCCCACUGGUAUCGGGGUAGGGAUUUGCCUGACCCUUUUACUACCCCAUUUCUUCUUGUGUGCACUGGGGAAUCCUGUUUUUCCAUACUCUUUCUUGUCUACCUGGGCCCUUCUCAUCGCCUCACCUGUGUCGUGCCCACCAGCCCGUGUCCUGGCAUUCUCUGAGUGCUUGCCAUGCAUCUUUCCUGCGUGGAUAUGUGGGUGGGAAGGAAGUCGGGCAGGGAUAGCAAAGAAGUGGCUAGCACGUUGGAGCAGACCUUAACCAGCUCCUGAAGAUAACAGAAUAGGAGAUUCUCAUCCCUCCGGGCUCCAACCCACCCCUAGGGGACCCUCUUCUCCUCCCCUCCCCCUGCCUUAACCAGUGAGAGAACCUAAUCCUAGGUCACCACAAACCUAGCUGAGGCCCCAGGAUGGUUAUCCCAGGACAAGGGGAUUUAGGGCUCAAGUUAGACCCAUUUGCUGCUUUCUGGAGACUUAAUAUCAGAAACCGAUGAAACUGAUGGGAAAGACAAGAAAGAGAUUAUUAAAGCACCUCCUAUAUGUCAGGCAGGGAACGAAACACCUUUUUUCUUAUAAUUAUCACCACUGCCCUGUAAAGUAUGGGUAUUGUGAUGCCUAUUUUACAGUUAAGAAGGCCAAGGGCCAGACGGUUCAGGUCAUCCACAGUUCUCCCCUGUACACUCUGCUGCCUCUUGGUGAAUCCACUGGAGGCUUGUGCCAUGGUUGUGGAGCUAUUUUUGGUAUGCCUCUCUCCCCACUGUCCUCUGGGAGUUGGGGCAAACAGGUCUCUGGGGCUGCCCAUUCCAGUGCCCUGAGUUGCACCCAGGAGGACUUUGUUUGUGGUCCCUGGAUGAGAGGCAGUGCCACCAAGAUUCCCAGUAGAGGCCUGCAAACAACCUGUGGGGCUGCCUUGAAUGGGCUUGGGAGAUGCUGCUAGUGGCACCCCCUGCAUUCCUCCAGGAAUGUCGGCCCGUUCCUGGUGAUUAGCCUGUGGGGCCUCCCUGAGCUUUGAUCUUCCAUUCCUGUAAGCGGAGAGGCCCAGAUGGAAAUGGCCGGGUCAGGUAUCCAAGCAGACUACAUGAGCUGUCAGGACUGGAAGUAUUAGCUCACUGGAUGAUCCUGGGCAAAUUAUGCAACAAGCAACAAAAACCUCUGUGCCUUGGGUCCUUGAAGACAGAUCCUCCUGGGUAAGCUAGAGAUGCUUGCUGUGGGUCGAAGUCAUUUCCCCAAAUUGGGGAACUGGAAGAAGGAACAUUGCCCAGAGGCUGAGUCACCGCACAGGAUUCUAGCAGAGCAGAAGUUGCGGGGGCCGGCAGGAAGACAGCUGGAGAGAAGAUGCCCAGUGCUGAUCCCGCAUUGGCCCCAGGAGCUGGGCUUCAGAGAGUCUGAGCUUGUCAGGAUGCCAAGAUGAGCAAGAUUCGGCCUAUGUCCUCAGAGAGCUCUUGGUCUAGCUGGGGGACUGGCCAACCCAAACCUAAGGUCAAGGUGAUGGGGGAGCCUUGAGUUAGGAGAGCAGAACGCUGGCUGGCAGGGGAGUCAGGGGAACAUCACAAAGUUAGUGGCUUUGAAGGACGGGGCCUGGGUACUACAGCAAUGAAUCAAAGACAUCAACACAUUUGGGGGCUUCUGAACCCUGCUGCAUGUGCAUUCAAAAAGCAAGACGGGGUACUUCUCCCAGGCCCCAAGAAAGGCUUCGAAUCCUACUCUGCCACUGAAUAGCCACUCUGUGGCCAGCAUGUGGCCAUUCUGCUCCUCAGUUUCCAUAUCUGUAACAUGAGGAUAAUAUUGGAAACCCAUGUGGCUAUUGGGAAAGGCCAGCUGUGAAAGAAAAUUGUCAAGUGGCAUAUUCACCCUCCUAUCCUUUUCUCUGAUGGACAGGGAUGGGCUACCAUCCAGUUUAGGCAGUAAGUUCUACUGGGGAUAGUUAGGAGUCCGUCGGGUUUCUGAAAUGGCUUAGAAUAGUAACCCCUCUGCCCCCACCAGCCUAUAGCCUGGAGACUUUUUUUUUUUUUUUUUUUGAGACUUGGUCUCACUCUGUCGCCCAGGCUAGAGUACAGUGGCAUGAUCACGGCUCAUUGCAGCUAUGACCUCCUGGGCUCAAGUGAUCCUCCCACCUCAGCCCCCGAGUAGCUGGGACCACAGGUGCGUACCACUAUGCCCCGCUAAAUUUUUUAAACUACAUUUUUAGUAGAGACAAGGUUUCACCAUGUUUUCCAGGCUGGUCUUGAACACCUGGACUCAAACGAUCUGCCCACCUCGGCCUCCCAAAGUGCUGGGAUUACAGGUGUGAGCCACCGCACCUGGCCUAUCCUUUUCAAAGCAUUUUUCUCAUCUAUUAUCUCAGAGUAACUCUCUAAGGGUAAGUAGGGCAGGUGGCUUUGUUUCCAUUUUUCAAAGGAAACAGUUGAGACCUCAGAGCUUGCUUGUGGCCAGGCUUGGAUUUGAACCAAGGUUCGGCAGAUUCUUUUUUUUUUUUUUUUUUUUUUUUUGGGAUGGAGCCUCGCUCUGUCGCCCAGGCUGGAGUGCAGUGGUGCAAUCUCAGCCCACUGCAAGCUCCAUGUCCGUGGUUCACACCAUUCUCUUACCUCAGCCUCCCCAGUAGCUGGGACUACAGGUGGAGGCCACCACGCCCUGCUAAUUUUUUUUUGUAUUUUUUAGUAGAGAUGGGGUUUCACCCUGUUAGCCAGGAUAGUCUCGAUCUCCUGACCUCGUGAUCCGCCCGCCUCGGCCUCCCAAAGUGCUGGGAUUACAGGCGUGAGCCACCGCGCCUGGCCUGGUCUGCAGAUUCUUUACCCCAAGCUUCACCUGAAGAAGAUCAGUGGUUCCCCGAGAGUGGGUCGUGCAAACAUGUGCUGGGCGGACACAGCAUUGAGUGGCAUUGAAUCUCGUCAUGAGAAGUUUCUUUCCUUUCAGUUCUCUUUCACUCCACAUUGGGUCAAGGGGAGAAUCUCCAUUUGGGGCUCCUGUGCUGUUAACAUCUGUCAGACGCUGGCUGAUGUCAUUUGUUUGUUUGACCAAGAGCAAAUCUGACCCAGGCUUAGAAUCUUGCUAGAACUUGCCUUGCUCUCUUGUUGAACUUCAUGGCAUUGUUUCAUUGUAUGUGUUUUUCCGGAAUCUCCCGUCUAUACCUAGGAAUGCUGGUUUUCCAUCCACUGUAGCAUAGGAAAAUGUCUUUUUGAAAUACAUGUUUAAGUUUUAAAAAAUAAAGUCAACUUAAAUAAACACACUAAGAUGACACUAGUGUAGGUGUUACUCAGGUUCAUUGGUUCACCUGGCCGGAGGGCUUGGGGAAUGCAGAGUUAAACGACCCCAAGUGGGACUCUGUCUCUUAGGCACCUAGGGUGCCCUCUGCCUCUUGUCUCCUAGGGUGACACCAGUGGCUCCCAAAUUCCAACUGGGAAAGGAGCCUGGAAAAGCAUCGGCAUUCGUGGUGGCUGCUCCCCACACCAAGUAGAAGAAUCCACGUUGUCAGAGAGCUGCUAACGUCAGGCGGUACUGGAUUUUUGCAAGCCCUCUAUUUAAAAUUCCCCAGAAAUUAAAUAAGGAGGCUUUGGAGGGAGGAAUGCCCUAGACAAAUUGUGGAGUGGGUUUGUUUUGUUUAUGGAGAUGGUCUUUAAAGUCUAAAUUGUCCCCGUUUUAUUUUUGCCCAAUUGAAGAGGGGCUGAACUCAGCUGGGAGGGAGGGGAUGGUUGUCAGCCUACAGCUUUUAGUUGAAACCAAGUCCAUUCUGGGGCCAAGAAGCUUCCAUUUUUAGCAAAGAGAGAAAGGGGAAAAAUAUACAAACUCGUACAUGUACGCAUCUUAGGCACUGGAGUAAGCCAGUUAAAUGGAUAAGGAUAAUCUUUAUAUUUCAAGUGACCACAGCUCUCUUCUCCAGGCUGCAAAUAGAUCUAUUAAGCACCAGGCACAUUUCUGGGCACUUUCCAUUCUUUUCUUUUCUUUUCUUUUUCUCCCCACAACACUGGUAGUAAAUACAUGCUGUUUCAUAUUCCCAUCUCACCAAUGAGAACUUAAGCCUCAUUCUUCAGUCUCUUCCUUCAGCCAAUCUGAAGGACCAGGCACCACACUAGUCUGACGUUGGCUUCCUAAAGCUGUAGUCCACCCAACACCAUGAUACAGGGGAGGAUCUUAGGUGGCAGAGAGGCAAUAUCAAUCCUUCUGCAUCACACAGUGGGAAAAGUUUGUCUCAUUGCAGUUCUCUUCCAAGCCUUCUGACUUAUCUCAGUUUGAUGUUCGAUGAUCUUUAACCCCUGUCUAGCAAAUCUGUGUAGCAAAGAAAGAGCGGGCCACAGGCUCAGCCUCUUCAUUUGUGGCACGGUUCAAAUGUACUACAUAGCUUUGUUUUCAUCGUGUGUGCUUUUCUGGUUGGAGCCAGUGGUCCUCGUUGUUUAUUCAUGGUGGCAAUCUGAAGUUUCCUUAGCAAAUUUCUUUCUUGAAGUU
rnacentral:lncRNA from 1 species